rnacentral:rRNA from 1 species
AACCUACGGGACGCAGCAGUAGGGAAUAUUGCUCAAUGGGGGAAACCCUGAAGCAGCGACGCCGCGUGUGGGAAGACGGUCUUCUGGAUUGUAAACCACUGUCCCCAGGGACGAAAAUGACGGUACCUGGGGAGGAAGCUCCGGCUAACUACGUGCCAGCAGCCGCGGUAAUACGUAGGGAGCAAGCGUUGUCCGGAAUUACUGGGUGUAAAGGGCGUGCAGCCGGGAAGACAAGUCAGAUGUGAAAUCCCGCGGCUCAACCGCGGAACUGCAUUUGAAACUGUUUUUCUUGAGUACCGGAGAGG